rnacentral:rRNA from 1 species
AACGAACGCUGGCGGCAUGCCUAACACAUGCAAGUCGAACGAGACCUUCGGGUCUAGUGGCGCACGGGUGCGUAACGCGUGGGAACCUGCCCUUAGGUUCGGAAUAACUCCCCGAAAGGGGUGCUAAUACCGGAUAAUGUCUUCGGACCAAAGAUUUAUCGCCUUUGGAUGGGCCCGCGUUGGAUUAGCUAGUUGGUAGGGUAAAAGCCUACCAAGGCGACGAUCCAUAGCUGGACUGAGAGGAUGAUCAGCCACACUGGGACUGAGACACGGCCCAGACUCCUACGGGAAGCAGCAGUGGGGAAUAUUGGACAAUGGGCGAAAGCCUGAUCCAGCAAUGCCGCGUGAGUGAUGAAGGCCUUAGGGUUGUAAAGCUCUUUUACCCGGGAUGAUAAUGACAGUACCGGGAGAAUAAGCUCCGGCUAACUCCGUG